UACACGCUGUGACUAGCAUAUCAAUAAGCGGAGGAAAAGAAACUAACAAGGAUUCCCUUAGUAACGGCGAGUGAAGCGGGAAGAGCUCAAAUUUGAAAUCUUCAAGGUUUUACCUUGACGAAUUGUAGUUUAAAGAAGUGUUUUCUGCUGAAGUUUUGGUAAAAGUUCUUUGGAAUAGGACAUCAUAGAGGGUGAGAAUCCCGUAUUUGACCAUUAUUUUCAGCUUUGUGAUACACUUUCAAAGAGUCGGAUUGUUUGGGAAUGCAGUCCAAAAUGGGUGGUAAAUUUCAUCUAAAGCUAAAUAUUGGCGAGAGACCGAUAGCGAACAAGUACCGUGAGGGAAAGAUGAAAAGAACUUUGAAAAGAGAGUUAAACAGUACGUGAAAUUGUCAAAAGGGAAGCGUUUGACGCCAGUGUUGUUUUCUCGAAAAUCAAUUAAAGAUGGCUCGAUUUUGUAUUGCUUGAGACCUUAAAAGCCCACUGUACAUUUUUUGUGUCUUUUUUAAUGCACUUUUCGUUUAACAAGUCAACAUCAGUUUCUUUUGUCGUAAAAGGGUCAUUGGAAGGUGGCUUUCUUUUCGGAGAAAGUGUUUAUAGCCUUUGGCCUCUGCAAUCGGAGAGACUGAGGUCUGCAGCGUAGACUCUUCGGGGUUAGAUACAUUUGUGCUAAGUUAUAGCUUUUUAUAGACAACUUGCUGACUAUAAUUAGUCUUGUAGCUUACUCGCUUAUGCUAUUUUACCUACGCUUAGGAUGUUGAGUAGCGACAUACGCAC
rnacentral:rRNA from 1 species